UACAGAGGUCUCAAGCGUUGUUCGGAUUCAUUGGGCGUAAAGGGCGCGUAGGCGGCGCGACAAGUCAGGCGUGAAAGCCCCGGGCUCAACCCGGGAAUUGCGCUUGAUACUGUCGUGCUUGAGGCCGGGAGAGGAUGGCGGAAUUCCCAGUGUAGAGGUGAAAUUCGUAGAUAUUCGCAAGAACACCAGUGGCGAAGGCGGCUCACUGGCCCGGUACUGACGCUGAGGUGCGAAAGCGUGGGGAGCAAACAGG
rnacentral:rRNA from 1 species